GACGAACGCUGGCGGCGUGCUUAACACAUGCAAGUCGAACGCUGAAGCUUGGUGCUUGCACUGGGUGGAUGAGUGGCGAACGGGUGAGUAAUACGUGAGUAACCUGCCCUUGACUCUGGGAUAAGCCUGGGAAACUGGGUCUAAUACUGGAUACGACAUGUCACCGCAUGGUGGUGUGUGGAAAGGGUUUUACUGGUUUUGGAUGGGCUCACGGCCUAUCAGCUUGUUGUGGGGUAAUGGCUCACCAAGGCGACGACGGGUAGCCGGCCUGAGAGGGUGACCGGCCACACUGGGACUGAGACACGGCCCAGACUCCUACGGGAGGCAGCAGUGGGGAAUAUUGCACAAUGGGCGAAAGCCUGAUGCAGCGACGCCGCGUGAGGGAUGACGGCCUUCGGGUUGUAAACCUCUUUCAGCACGGAAGAAGCGAAAGUGACGGUACGUGCAGAAGAAGCGCCGGCUAACUACGUG
rnacentral:rRNA from 1 species